rnacentral:rRNA from 1 species
AGAGUUUGAUCCUGGCUCAGGACGAACGCUGGCGGCGUGCCUAAUACAUGCAAGUCGUGCGCUUUUGGAUCUUCGGAUCCAGGGGAGCGGCGAACGGGUGAGUAACACGUGGGCAACCUGCCCGAACCAUUGGGAUAACGCCUGGAAACGGGUGCUAAUACCAGAUAGUCUUCUUCGCCGCCUGGCGGAGAAGGGAAAGG